rnacentral:rRNA from 1 species
AGAGUUUGAUCAUGGCUCAGAACGAACGCUGGCGGCGCGUUUUAGGCAUGCAAGUCGAGCGGUAGUGUGGUGCUUGCACCACAUGAGAGCGGCGAACGGGUGAGUAACACGUAGGUGACCUACUCUUUGGUUGGGGAUAGCCUGUGGAAACACAGGGUAAUACCGAAUAAACUCCUUAGGCUGUGGUUUAAGGAGGAAAGGUCCGUAAGGAUCGCCGGAGAAGGGGCCUGCGGCCCAUUAGCUAGUUGGUGGGGUAAAGGCCUACCAAGGCGACGAUGGGUAGCCGACCUGAGAGGGUGAUCGGCCACACUGGGACUGAGACACGGCCCAGACUCCUACGGGAGGCAGCAGCCAAGAAUCUUCCGCAAUGGGCGAAAGCCUGACGGAGCGACGCCGCGUGGAGGAAGAAGGCCGAGAGGUUGUAAACUCCUUUUCUUAGGGAAGAAUAAUGCUGGGAGGUAAUGCCCGGCAGAUGACGUUACCUAAGGAAUAAGCCCCGGCUAACUACGUGCCAGCAGCCGCGGUAACACGUAGGGGGCGAGCGUUGUUCGGAUUUACUGGGCGUAAAGGGUGCGCAGGCGGUUAUACAAGUCUGGUGUAAAAGGCUACGGCUCAACCGUAGUAUGCACCGGAAACUGUGUAACUGGAGUCGCGGA